UACGAAGGGGGCUAGCGUUGCUCGGAAUUACUGGGCGUAAAGGGCGCGUAGGCGGCACUGUUAGUCAGGCGUGAAAGUCCUGGGCUCAACCUGGGAACUGCGCUUGAUACGGCAGAGCUAGAGGAUGGAAGAGGGUCGCGGAAUUCCCAGUGUAGAGGUGAAAUUCGUAGAUAUUGGGAAGAACACCGGUGGCGAAGGCGGCGACCUGGUCCAUUACUGACGCUGAGGCGCGAAAGCGUGGGGGAGCAAACAGG
rnacentral:rRNA from 1 species